AGCUUCGGCCAUCCGGCGAGGGAUGGGCCCGCGGUCCAUUAGCUAGUUGGUGGGGUAACGGCCUACCAAGGCGACGAUGGAUAGCUGGUCUGAGAGGACGAUCAGCCACACUGGGACUGAGACACGGCCCAGACUCCUACGGGAGGCAGCAGUCGGGAAUCUUGCGCAAUGGGCGAAAGCCUGACGCAGCAACACCGUGUGGGCGACGAAGGCCUUCGGGUCGUAAAGCCCUGUUGUCGGGGACGAAGGGCGAAGGGUUAAUAGCCC
rnacentral:rRNA from 1 species